GUGACUGGACUUCCCUCCAACAGCUCCAUCUUGUGUGUCAACAAAGGAUCUAACAGCUGCAUGAGGAAGGGAAAGUGGCCUGUGUUAAUUAGAAACUCUUCCUCAGCUUUUCCCAGUGGCAAACUAUCAGUUGGUAAUUACAACGCACCAGUAACUCCCCAUUCUUCUCUGCUAAUGCUGGGCAGUGAGCUAACAAGGAGGAGAGGAAAAGCUGGCGGAGGAGGAUAUGCUGUGCAAGAGCAUUGCAUGGUUUCAGGUUCACACUCUAACAACAAAGACAAAGCAGAACUAUUUGGGGAAUGUUUGUAUCGCUCUUUUAAAAAUGAAGCCUUCAAUAUAAGGUUCAAGGUUGAAGGACAUGUGGACGAUUUUGGAAGCAUCUCUUAUUCAUGGUGUCAGGUGAUGCUCCCGUCCAACAUAUGUCUGAGAGAAGACUAGUCGGCUAUUUUUGGUACUCUCCCAGAUGUUCAGCAGAUGCUACUUUCUUUCUGGAUAAGGCGUGGACUGCACCCUCCCAUUGGAAGAAAUGGCUGAUGACAGCUCUGACCUGAGACAUAGCUGCUGCUCUGCUUGCAAUGGGUUCAUAUGGUGAAGGUAACUGAAGGACCAUGUCAUCUCCUCUGCCUCUGCAGGUGAAGGAAACCAGACCCUGGUGGGUGUGACAGGGAGAUCGUGAUGCGGGGAAUGCCCCAUGGAAGUCCCUUAAUGAGAGCUGUGCAAGGUUUGCUGGGGCGAGGUAGGGGACAGAAUAGGGUUGGGCUAAGUGGGCAGUCACUGGCUGUAGCUUGCUCCUUCCCUCUGCUCAGCCGGUCUGUUAUGGGUACAUUAAUCCAGAGCCUGGCUUCCCCACUGCAGGGUGGAAUCUGUCCUAGGGGGAGCAGGCUCUGCAGACAGCGUGAGAUUCCCAUGACUACACAGCUCCUACCCAGCCAUUCUGUCCGAGCCAGAGGGACACAGGAGAGUCAGAAGAGAAGUCAGUGCAGAGCUCCAGGGGGCUCUAUGCCGAUUACCCUGACCUCCACAGAUCCCCUGUGGUCCAUGCAGAUCUUGGCAGGCUGGUUUGCGGAGCUUACCCCCCAGCUUGUUUCCCAGAGGUGAACAAAUUCUGCGUGGCCCCAGGGAGAAUGCCUGGGAAGCUCUGCAUGGGGACCCUCACAGAGCCUUCAGUCCCCCUAUGGGUCAUUCCUGCCUAGGGCACAUUCAGGCCAUUAGCACUGUAAUAAUCAGCAAACCCUGCUGAGGUUGGAAAACUUGGCUGGCUGUUUGCUUGUUUGUUUGUAUUUUCUGAGACGAUCCAUAUGCCUUUCGGAUUCGCUUGCUGUCAGUGAGUUGAGGAAUAGCGAAGCGUCGACGUCAGUGGAUUUUUUUGUUUAGUUGAAAUAGCAGAUGGAGGACUGGCAAAAGGGGUUACGUUUAGCUCCUUUGUAGACCAGGAGAACUCUCAGGUCUUAGUGCAAGGACAGCAGAGCAGGCGUGGCAAUGGCCGGUGUGGGAUGUCAAGACGGGGAUCUUCCCAGAAGGCAGAGUUAGGGAUUGUCUUUUGGAUACCACUGAGCUAACUUAGCUCCCCUUUCCUUCGGGGGAAAUUCUGAUAAAAGGGUUCGUUUUAGUCCUGUGCACAAACUAUUGAUUUUUCACACAACGCGGGUACAGCCUCUGCUUUGCAACCAUGAGCUUCCUCCUGCAGUCGGAAUUAAUGAGGCCGCUUGCAUUAAUAAGUGUGUCUCAGUGUAAAUAUGAUCACAGAACGGGCCGUGUAGAUCCUGAAGUCCUUACUCAGCCAGAACUCAGGAAUUUUGGCUAAAUGGGGAUUGAGUAAAAGCUAUGUAGGAUCCUCAGGAUUUGGCCCAUACAUCCCACAUGUAAGUUUUUGGGCUGCAUGUUAAUUACUAGUGUGAAUUAUACAUCAUGUACCCUGAAGAGCCCGCAGAAUUCUAUGGGGUUUCAAUUUAGGACAAGGGCUCUGGCAUAAUGUUCUGUGAGAAAAGAGCUAUAAUCACUGGAGCUUGUGGGGUCCUGGUGGUUAUGCUGUAUGAAACUCCUUGGGAGACCUCAGAUAUAGUACCUCACCCUCCUCACUGGCCCAGUUGCAAUCACCAGAGAAACAUGAUACCGUGCUCCUGGAGAAGGAGGGUCCUCUCCGUUUGUGUGACACAUGCAGUCAAUCAAUGCUGUAGGUCGUUUCUGCAUUCAAAAUACAGUUUGAUCUAUACAUGAAUCUGGAAUACCUUCAAAGUCAUCAUCUGCCAUCAUGAUCAGAGCAUCUCAGAUUUUCACCCAGUCAGAAUUAGAGAACUGAGUUGGACCACUUUAAAUCUGAAGGUGACAGCAUCCAGUUAUUCAUAAAAUUGCUCCUCUCUUGAGGACAUUUCCAGUUACCAAGGGAUGGUGCCUCUCUUUCUAGGGAAUGGAAAACAUAUCCAAAGCAUAGUAUGUCUUCCAUCUGAAUGUGUCAGGAAUCAGGACCUGCAACAGCAUCAGACUCUGGGCAACCUAACGAGCGCAGCUGGCUUGUAGUAGGAUGCCUGAUGGUCUACACCACCUGUUUGAUUGGGAAAGUCAGCAGACCAGCUCUUAAGCCCAGCAGCGGCAGUAGUUUGGUGGCUGCUCAAAGCAUUUGUCCACAGCUAUGAUAGGGUGUCUGCUUGUUCCCAGCCCUGCUCCUGCCUUGGACCCAGCCUUGCUCCAGGUAACCUGGUCCUGACCCUUGGCUCUGAUUCCUUACUUUGGCGCUUACCCUUGUCUCUGGCACCUGCCCCCCAGUCCAGCGCCGACCCUAGGCUCCGAUUCCUGGCUCCCGAUUCCAGCUCCAACCACUAAGCACGACUGUCCGCGUCCCAGUCACUGAGAGAACGUUCUACUGAAAUCUCUGCUGUCUCCACUUGUUUAAAAGAUAUUCAGCAAAGUUUGUCCUAUAACUUUAUGGAGCCAAGCCUGCACAGACUAGAAGCACAGAUAAUUGGCUCUAAAUGUUUGCUAAGAGAUGCUCUGGCCCACUCUUGGUAACGUAUUCGUGACUACAUCUUCAAGUAUAAAACUGAGCAUCUUACCACCCUCUUGCUUGUGGAUGAAUCUGAGUCUUAGGUCCAUUACUAAAACUAUAUCACCUACUCAACUUUGCCAACCUGAACCCAGUGCUGAGCAAAACAGAUUCAGAGCUACUGACAAAUGCGGCUUUGAUUCCCUCAAGAUUAUUCAAUCGUUUCUCCUCAGGAGCCCCUAUCUAAGAUACAAGUUGUUCAGCAGCUCACAGCCUUGCAGGGAGCAUCUGUUCACAUGUCUGAACAUCCUACACCUGGUGUAAAGAUCUCCAAGCUCACUUUCUAAUAUGUAGUACCUGUGAUGGUGCACUCCAUAUGCUUUAUGAAAGUAUGCUUAUGAAUAUGAUGUAACUGGAAUAUGCUUUAUGCAAAAGGUCUCUUGUAAGGUAUCAUAACAAAGAUUAUAAAUUACUGAAUAUGUUCCUCCUAUUUGUAUGCAUGUAUCAUUCUUGUAUCUGAAGCUAGAAAUAUGAAGUAUAACUCUGAGGUCCUAUUGUAAUUAUGCAAAGUGUGGCCCA